GACAAAUAUUCUCUUUUCUGUUCGACUUAUGCUAGGUUUCAAGCCUAAGUGAGCAGUGUUUAGCGAAAGCUAUUCUCUGCGAUGAACUACGUUAUGAGGAGAAGUUAAAGACUUACCUUCGGAUGUGAUCUUCAGUCUGAAGCUCUAAGAGUGCCAAUCAAGAAACUGUGCUAAUGUCCUGCACAGAUAACAGAGAAACACAUGAGCUUCCUCACGACAUUGGCAAGAAGAGAAAUUCCCAAAAGG
rnacentral:ncRNA from 1 species